UCCGAUCAAGCGUCUUGAAGAGCAUUUGGUGGAUGCCUUGGUACAGAGAGGCGAUGAAGGACGUGACACGCUGCGAUAAGCUGUGGGGAGCCGUGAGUAGGCUUUGAUCCGCAGAUUUCCGAAUGGGGAAACCCAAACCAUUUUGGUUUAUCCCGCAAGGGAGGCGAACCCAGCGAACUGAAAUAUCUAAGUAGCUGGAGGAAAGGACAUCAACCGAGACUCCGUUAGUAGUGACGAGCGAACGCGGACCAGGCCAGUGGCCAAUUUGAAAACAACCAGAAUGACCUGGAAAGGUCAGCCAUAGUGGGUGAUAGCCCCGUAUGGGUAAUGUUUCAUUUUGGUCCUUGAGUAGGGCGGGACACGAGAAAUCCUGCUUGAACAUGGGGGGACCACCCUCCAAGCCUAAGUACUACUCUGUGACCGAUAGUGAACAAGUACCGUGAGGGAAAGGUGAAAAGAACCCCUAUGAGGGGAGUGAAACAGACCUGAAACCGAAUGCUUACAAACAGUAGGAGCAACAUUAAGUUGUGACUGCGUACCUUUUGUAUAAUGGGUCAGCGAGUUAAUUUAUUGAGCAAGCUUAAGCCGUUAG
rnacentral:rRNA from 1 species